UCAGAUUUCGAUUCCGAGAAUAUGCCCGUGUCCCAUAUUUUCUUACAAACCUUUUGGGACUGUCACAUCAUGGGUAUGGGUCUAUUUACCCAAAAUAUUGACCAAAGUCAAUUUCAACAAUAGUAAUAUAAAAAUUCAUCAACUUUUUCACAAAUUUCACAUAUUUCAAUAUAACAGUUUUCUGACUACGCGCCCGGACUACGCACGCAAAUUGAGGCAACUAAAAAUGAGAUUUUUUAAUCCUCGGAAGCACGGUAAAAGGAAGAAAUCUGGGUCAUCACAUGUAGAUACAAAGGAUGAUGAUGAUCUACAGUCGUUCUUGUGCUCGUUCCAGUUGAAUUUUCUUCUCCAAUUGCAAUAGCUGAUACAUUUAGUUGAAUUAACCCUUUUCUUCAAUGAAUUAUAUACUCUCUAAUAGCAAAUUGAACAAAAACCCAAGGUUAAUCGAUCGAGAAAAACUCGAACAAUCAACAGUAGAACAACUCUACAAAGAAAUAGAGGAGAUCGAUCACAAUGAGCAAGUAUCUAGCUCUCGUGCUCUGAUACCAUGACGAAGAUCAAAUAUUAGCUCAAUUGAAAAGAG
rnacentral:lncRNA from 1 species